AUAGGGGAGCCGUAGGGAAACCGAGUCUUAACUGGGCGAAUGAGUUGCAGGGUAUAGACCCGAAACCCGGUGAUCUAUCCAUGGGCAGGUUGAAGGUUGGGUAACACUAACUGGAGGACCGAACCGACUAAUGUUGAAAAAUUAGCGGAUGACUUGUGGAUGGGGGUGAAAGGCCAAUCAAACCGGGAGAUAGCUGGUUCUCCCCGAAAGCUAUUUAGGUAGCGCCUCGUGAACUCAUCUUCGGGGGUAGAGCACUGUUUCGACUAGGGGGUCAUCCCGACUUACCAACUCGAUGCAAACUGCGAAUACCGAAGAAUGUUAUCACGGGAGACACACGGCGGGUGCUAACGUCCGUCGUGAAGAGGGAAACAACCCAGACCGCCAGCUAAGGUCCCAAAGUCAUGGUUAAGUGGGAAACGAAGUGGGAAGGCUCAGACAGCCAGGAUGUUGGCUUAGAAGCAGCCAUCAUUUAAAGAAAGCGUAAUAGCUCACUGGUCGAGUCGGCCCGCGCGGAAGAUGUAACGGGGCUAAACCAUGCACCGAAGCUGCGGCAGCGACACAAAGUGUUGUUGGGUAGGGGAGCGUUCUGUAAGCCUGCGAAGGUGUACUGUGAGGUAUGCUGGAGGUAUCAGAAGUGCGAAUGCUGACAUAAGUAACGAUAAUGCGGGUGAAAAACCCGCACGCCGGAAGACCAAGGGUUCCUGUCCAACGUUAAUCGGGGCAGGGUGAGUCGACCCCUAAGGCGAGGCUGAAAAGCGUAGUCGAUGGGAAACGGGUUAAUAUUCCCGUACUGGUGGUAACUGCGAUGGGGGAACGGAGAAGGCUAGGUUGUCCGGGCGACGGUCGUCCCGGUUCAAGCAGGUAGGCAGAGUGAUUAGGCAAAUCCGGUCACUUAAUGCUGAGAUGUGAUGACGAACCACCAAGGUGGUGAAGCAAUUGAUGCCCCGCUUCCAGGAAAAGCCUCUAAGCUUCAGGUUACCAACAAUCGUACCCCAAACCGACACAGGUGGUCAGGUAGAGAAUACUCAGGCGCUUGAGAGAACUCGGGUGAAGGAACUAGGCAAAAUGGUGCCGUAACUUCGGGAGAAGGCACGCUGGCGGUAGGUAAAGUCCCUUGCGGACGGCGCUGAAGCCAGUCGAAGAUACCAGCUGGCUGCAACUGUUUAUUAAAAACACAGCACUGUGCAAACACGAAAGUGGACGUAUACGGUGUGACGCCUGCCCGGUGCUGGAAGGUUAAUUGAUGGGGUCAGCCGUAAGGCGAAGCUCCUGAUCGAAGCCCCAGUAAACGGCGGCCGUAACUAUAACGGUCCUAAGGUAGCGAAAUUCCUUGUCGGGUAAGUUCCGACCUGCACGAAUGGCGUAAUGAUGGCCAGGCUGUCUCCACCCGAGACUCAGUGAAAUUGAACUCGCUGUGAAGAUGCAGUGUACCCGCGGCAAGACGGAAAGACCCCGUGAACCUUUACUAUAGCUUGACACUGAACAUUGAGCCUUGAUGUGUAGGAUAGGUGGGAGGCUUUGAAGUGUGGACGCCAGUCUGCAUGGAGCCAACCUUGAAAUACCACCCUUUAACGUUUGAUGUUCUAACCUAGGCCCAUAAACUGGGUCGGGGACCGUGUCUGGUGGGUAGUUUGACUGGGGCGGUCUCCUCCUAAAGAGUAACGGAGGAGCACGAAGGUUGGCUAAGCAUGGUCGGACAUCAUGCGGUUAGUGCAAAGGCAUAAGCCAGCUUGACUGCGAGAGUGACGGCUCGAGCAGGUACGAAAGUAGGUCUUAGUGAUCCGGUGGUUCUGAAUGGAAGGGCCAUCGCUCAACGGAUAAAAGGUACUCCGGGGAUAACAGGCUGAUACCGCCCAAGAGUUCAUAUCGACGGCGGUGUUUGGCACCUCGAUGUCGGCUCAUCACAUCCUGGGGCUGAAGUAGGUCCCAAGGGUAUGGCUGUUCGCCAUUUAAAGUGGUACGCGAGCUGGGUUUAGAACGUCGUGAGACAGUUCGGUCCCUAUCUGCCGUGGGCGUUGGAAGAUUGAGAGGGGUUGCUCCUAGUACGAGAGGACCGGAGUGAACGCACCACUGGUGUUCGGGUUGUCAUGCCAAUGGCAUUGCCCGGUAGCUAAGUGCGGAAGAGAUAACCGCUGAAAGCAUCUAAGCGGGAAACUUGCCUCGAGAUGAGUCUUCCCUGUCGCUUUAAGCGACCUAAAGGAACGUUUAAGACUAAGACGUUGAUAGGCUGGGUGUGUAAGCGUAGCGAUACGUUGAGCUAACCAGUACUAAUGAACCGUGAGGCUUAACC
rnacentral:rRNA from 1 species